ACGAGUUCAAUUUCUGGUUAAGAAUAAUUGCGUAAUCGCUAUCAAACUUGGGUUUACCUAAUAACUUAUCUGUAGAUAUUUAGUUACGCAAUAUCCAUCAUAAUAAUUGAUGGACAUUCUUGCAAAUUAAACCUGUAAAAUUUCCCUUCAUACAUAAAUUCCAUACCUCUUUUUAUUUAGUUCGAUCCUUAUAUUUGCCCCUGGGCAAAACUUAAUUAAGCAAAACAAAAGACCGUCUUUGUCCACACCCAUGAAAUUUAAUAGAAACAGAGAUCCCUUUUUUCAUACAGCUAAAAUUUUGGCGUCCAAUUUCCCAUGAGAAAAGAAAUGGCAAGGUUUCCCCUGACACACGUGUAAAUAUUUAUAAAGCUCUCCUAAAAUCUCGCAUGUUUAUAAACAUUCCCACUUUUCCUAGCUACAAUUAUCCGCGUAGUAUUUUUGUUGGCGAAUUUAAUAAAAAUCCUGACAUCCAUACCACAUUUAGUAUGUCCUCGUAAAUAAUUACGUACUAAGAAACAGCGAUAAAAAAUCAGGUCAAGUUUAAUUUUCUAUAACAAUAUGUACCAAAUGUGUCCCUCCACACAUAAUUACCUUCUCAUUGAAUCCUAGAAAUUCCACGUGUUAGACCAGCCUAGUACGGAGAUGUGGGCCAGGGUCAGGCAAUACUGGGAAGGAGGCGGAUGUCCAGCCAGAGAUACAAAAGUCUCAACUUCCUGCCUCUGCUCGGCAGUCUUGGUCCAGCUUAUCCCACAUCCGCCCCACAAUUCCUUACUCUUCAGCUGGAAAUUACCUAAAAAUUUGGCCAAACGAUGUCCCGUGUACGGAACAAAUUCGGCCUGGACCUAGUCCUGAUCUUAUUUCUCCUCUGGACCACAAAUAAUGCGGAUCUUACGUAUCGGCGCCGCUUCAAUUUGAAACACUUGACAACCGCAAAGUGCCUCGUGGGACACCGUGGCGCCACUUUUAUAGACUUCUGCGACACUACAGGUGAUAUUUGACCAUAAUUUUGAAUGUAAUCAAUUCUGAAACACCAAAAAAACCAAAGAUUACUUAUGCAGAAUUUAAAUAUUCGCUGUUAAUCAAUUAAAUUAAAUAUAUUUUUGUACAAAUUUUGCAACACAAGACCUGAUAAGGGGUAUUUAGCCCGUAAAUACUAAUCCAGUUAGAUUUGACCCGAAAUUAAAUAACCAACUCUCCAAUUCCCAUUACCCGGGAAAGAUCCUCUCAUUUAAAUUUAACUAUCCCGCCAAACUUCUUUCCGCCGUUAUUCAAAUUACCCUCCUUUUAAAAAGAAGGUUGCUACCCUGACCACUAAAAUCAUUAACAAUUCCCUCACCACUAUUAAAAUAUUUAAUUUUUCACAAUUAAAUCUAAUUAACGCUCCUCUCCCCCAGACAAAUUUCAAGAAUGGGUCACCCUCGGCCCCCAAUGGGGUGGGACGAUCCGCCCCUUCCUCAGCCAAGAAAUGUGUCUCGCAUCACCCCCCGAAGGCUCAGGAUUCUACACUCAUCUCCAAAACUGCUCCCAAAAACAAUGCCUCUCCAGCUUCAAGUGGACCAUCACCCUCGACCCGCGCCCCUCCCCGGCCCCCAGUCUCAGCAAGGUCGUCGUCUGGAACAACGACCUUGAGCGCUGCCUCCAACCCAGCGGCGGGUAUGGCGACCGCGUCAAAACGGGGCCUUGUCCGAAACACGACGGCUGGGUGCGGAUCGACCGUGGCACGAGUGACUCCUUCUUCUGGGAAGUCGCCCUUAUCAAGGAGACCGUCUAAUUUGGUCACAACCAGAAAUUAAUUAGGAUCCUAAUUUAGAACUAAUGAUUAAAUACUUACCUCAAAUAAUUAAGGUACAUUAUAAUUCCGCAAUUUCAAUAAUUAAAAGUAUUCUACCUCAAACUCUAAAUAUUUCUAGGGAAGCAUAGACAAUGAUUUUCAAUACUAAAUAUUUACAACAUAAAUA